rnacentral:rRNA from 1 species
UCAACCUACCCUAUGGACGGGGAUAAUCUCGGGAAACUGAGCAUAAUACCCGGCAGACCACUUAUCCUGGAAUGGUUAGUGGUUAAAAUGAUUCGUCGCCAUAGGAUGGGACUGCGGCCUAUCAGCUUGUUGGUGAGGUAAUGGCCCACCAAGGCGAUUACAGGUACGGGCUCUGAGAGGAGAGGCCCGGAGAUGGGUACUGAGACAAGGACCCAGGCCCUAUGGGGCGCAGCAGGCGAGAAAACUUUGCAAUGUGCGAAAGCACGACAAGGUUAAUCCGAGUGAUUUCUGCUAAAGGAAUCUUUUGUUAGUUCUAAAAAUACUAGUGAAUAAGGGGUGGGCAAGUUCUGGUGUCAGCCGCCGCGGUAAAACCAGCACCUCAAGUGGUCAGGAGGAUUAUUGGGCCUAAAGCAUCCGUAGCCUGUUCUAUAAGUUUGCGGUUAAAUCUAUACGCUCAACGUAUAGGCUGCCGUAAAUACUGUAGAACUAGGGAGUGGGAGAGGUAGACGGUACUCGAUAGGAAGGGGUAAAAUCCUUUGAUCUAUUGAUGACCACCUGUGGCGAAGGCGGUCUACCAGAACACGUUCGACGGUGAGGGAUGAAAGCUGGGGGAGCAAACCGGAUUAGAUACCCGGGUAGUCCCAGCUGUAAACGAUGCAGACUCGAUGAUGCAAUGGCAUAGAGCUAUUGCAGUAUCGCAGGGAAGCCGUUAAGUCUGCCGCCUGGGAAGUACGUACGCAAGUAUGAAACUUAAAGGAAUUGGCGGGGGAGCACCACAAGGGGUGAAGCCUGCGGUUCAAUUGGAGUCAACGCCAGAAAUCUUACCCGGAGAGACAGCAGAAUGAAGGUCAGGCUGAAGACCUUACCAGACAAGCUGAGAGGUGGUGCAUGGCCGUCGUCAGCUCGUGCCGUGAGAUGUCCUGUUAAGUCAGGUAACGAGCGAGAUCCCUGCCACUAGUUGCUAUCAUUACUCUCAGGAGUAGUGGGGCGAAUUAGUGGGACCGCCACAGUUAAUGUGGAGGAAGGAAGGGGCCACGGCAGGUCAGUAUGCCCCGAAACUCUGGGGCCACACGCGGGCUGCAAUGGUAGUGACAAUGGGCUCCUAACUCGAAAGAGAGAGGCAAUCCACAAACACUACCACAGUUAUGACUGAGGGCUGUAACUCGCCCUCACGAAUAUGGAAUCCCUAGUAACUGCGUGUC